rnacentral:rRNA from 1 species
UACGUAGGGUCCGAGCGUUGUCCGGAAUCACUGGGCGUAAAGGGCGUGUAGGCGGUCAGGUAAGUGGGAUGUGAAAUCCCUCGGCUCACCCGAGGACCGGCAUCUCAUACUGCUUGGCUUGAGUACGGGAGAGGAUGUGGGAAUUCCUGGUGUAGCGGUGAAAUGCGUAGAUAUCAGGAGGAACACCGGUGGCGAAGGCGCACAUCUGGCCCGAUACUGACGCUGAGGCGCGAAAGCUAGGGGAGCAAACGGG